CCUACGGGCGGCAGCAGUAGGGAAUCUUCCACAAUGGGCGAAAGCCUGAUGGAGCAACGCCGCGUGGGUGAAGAAGGUCUUCGGAUCGUAAAACCCUGUUGUUAGAGAAGAAAGUGCGUGAGAGUAACUGUUCACGUUUCGACGGUAUCUAACCAGAAAGCCACGGCUAACUACGUGCCAGCAGCCGCGGUAAUACGUAGGUGGCAAGCGUUAUCCGGAUUUAUUGGGCGUAAAGGGAACGCAGGCGGUCUUUUAAGUCUGAUGUGAAAGCCUUCGGCUUAACCGGGGUAGUGCAUUGGAAACUGGGAGACUUGAGUGCAGAAGAGGAGAGUGGAACUCCAUGUGUAGCGGUGAAAUGCGUAGAUAUAUGGAGGAACACCAGUGGCGAAAGCGGCUUUCUGGUCUGUAACUGACGCUGAGGUUCGAAAGCGUGGGUAGCAAACAGGAUUAGAUACCCCAGUAGUC
rnacentral:rRNA from 1 species